AAGACUAUAGACCUGCGGAGUACCUGCGGAAGGAUCAUUAUCGUAUUGUAACAAUUGGGGGGGCCACCGUGGGCUGUCGCUGACCCUUUGAAAGGGGAGUCGUGCACGCCCCCAUAGUGUCAUCCUCAUACAAUCCAACUCACCUCUGUGCAUCACCGCGUGGGUUCCUUUCUGGGUCGAGUCAGACUGGCUCAGAAAAAAGGGGCUUGCGUUUUCCAUACAAAUACCCUUAUAAAUCCA
rnacentral:misc_RNA from 1 species